rnacentral:rRNA from 1 species
UUGCUCUCAUGAUCAGCGGCGGACGGGUGAGUAACACGUGAGCAACCUGCCUUUCAGAGGGGGACAACAGUUGGAAACGACUGCUAAUACCGCAUAACAUUGCCGAACGGCAUCGUUUGGCAAUCAAAGGAGCAAUCCGCUGAAAGAUGGGCUCGCGUCCGAUUAGAUAGUUGGUGAGGUAACGGCCCACCAAGUCGACGAUCAGUAGCCGGACUGAGAGGUUGAUCGGCCACAUUGGGACUGAGACACGGCCCAGACUCC